rnacentral:lncRNA from 1 species
AUGCAACAAAAUUCAACAUGCUCUUCCCAGCCACUCGCUUGUCCUCAUAAGCUGCUCAUGUGAGUGCUAGGUGUAGACAUUUCCCCUGUAGACCAUAGGGAUCCUGCUGGCCUAAAUCCAACUGAGAGAAGAGGCAGUUCUAGAGACUGAGAACAGAGAGACACAGGGUGUCUCAUGCCUCUGCUGGACUCGGACCCGAAGAGCUGCAGAACAUAGAACAUUUGGAAUGCCUAUGCUAGAGAAGGUGGACUGAGGCACCUAAUUCUUCACCUCUCAGCAUCACCAGGCCUUGCUGGAAUGGCCACCUCUGCUGAUUGUGGGACCACCCUUUAUGCAAAAUGUCAAGGAAGGACAAGGAGAAGACCUCAGUAAGGUUGGAGGGUCACGGGAGGAGGCCUGAAUUCCUGGAAGCCAACCCACCUCCCACAUGGUCAGCUAUGAUGAAGGAUACAAUUUUCAAGGGUCCUGAGGGGUGGGAGGCCUAACUGAAAAGGGGCCAAGUCUCCACUUACAGAAUGGAAGCCAGAUCGGAGGUUUGGUGGUUCUGUCCUGAAAAGGAAUAACAUGGAGCGAUUUCCCAUCACCUGCCCUGAGGACGUGGCUACAGUGGCCACAUGGUGUUCAGAGACUGAGUCAGUGAGACCAGACCAGAUGGUGAGGAAGUUACCUGGAACCCCACCACCACCACCAAAUGGCGGGGAGGGGGGGAUGUCUGGCCAAAAAAGAAACGCCCCAUCCUGAGACAACACCCCCAAUCCAUGGAGUGCUGCUUUCUCCAAAGAAGCUACUUAGCCCCGAAAAUACUCUUGGUCAUGCAGGAUAGGAGACAAGCUGAACUUGGCUUGUUGGAGAAAGCAGGGAGGUAUGCUGGUUAACUCAUCAACUUGAUACAAACUAGAGUCACCUUGGAAGAGGGAACUUGAAGUGAGGAACUGCCUCCACCAGACUGCCCUGUAGGCAUGUCUGUGGGGUGUAUUCGUCAUUAAUGAUUGAUGUGGGAGGACCAAGCCUGCUGUGGGCUGCAAGCUAAGACACGUAUGUUGUACAGGUUCAUAGGACAGGUCUGAGCUGAACUGUGUGUUCUUUCUGUUUUUAUGUUUUGUAUGGGUGUUAUGUUGUCUGUGUCCCAUGGAGGCAAGAAGGUGUCAGAUUCCUGACACUGGAGUUUUGAUGUGCCAUGUAGGUGCUGAAGAUCAAACCUGAGGAUCCAACCAAUGAACAUCCUUAACUCCUGAGACAUCCUGCCCCCUGGAUGUGUUCUUAAUAACACUUUUUACAUCCCUAAGCCUGGCCGCCUCUCUAGGUGAAUAGACAUCAGGACACAUCAAUCAGGCAAACAGGAGCAACCCUUGUUCCUCAGCAGCUCUUAGUUUCCUAUAAUUUGUGUUAAACCAUCAUGACCAAAAGAUACUCAGGAGGAAAGGAUUUAUUUGGCCUUAUUUGGGAAACCAAGGCAGGAAUCUGGAGACAGGAACUUUAACAGAGAUGAUGGAGGAACUCUGCCCACUGGCUUUGAUCCUUAUGGCUUGCUCAGUUGGCUUUCUUAUACACCCCAGGCCUCCAGCCUAGGAGUGGCACCGCUCACAGUGGGCUGGACCCUCCCACAGCAAUCAUUAAUCCAGAAAACACCAUCUGAUGGAGGCAUUUUCUCAGUUGAGGUUCCUUUUCUCAGAUGCCCCCACCUGUAUUAAACUGAUAAAAACCUAAGCAGCACCACAGAUAUGUGAGAGGCCGGGACCUCUCACCUACUGGCCAGCACCCUCUGUCCCGCCUCUUUUGAUUUUUACUUUGAGACAGGGUAUCACAAAAAUUACUCAUGUGGCCCUUGAACUUGUGAGCUUCCUCUCUCAGUCUACCAAGUAGGUGGGAAGCCAGGCUUAUGUCUUCUUUGGGGCAGGAUAACCCUGAGCUUCCGGGCCCACAGUCAGUCCCCAUACUUUAGGCAGGGAUAUGAAAAGCCUGGUGUAUUGCAACCCUCUUCUGGCCACCAUUACCAAGGCAGGGAUGAGCACUUGACACAGGCCAGACCAUGCUUCAGUUCCAAAGCCAUUGCCUUGAACUAUGGGAAAGGGAAAGUGAUUGUCACAGAUGCUGGCAAAUGAACAGAUGAGUCUGCCUACUGGCAGCUGCUCACAGACCUCACUGGGUGUUUGCUUCUUGGCCCCUCAUUCGGAAGGCUGGUGUGAAAAGUGAGACUGCGGGCCUCCCAGGGCUCAGCCACAGAACGUGCAUUGUGAGUCUGGGUGCCUUCUAGAUGGAAAACCUGAUGCUCUGAGAAGUGGCCGGUGGGUUCAGAGCCAGAUCCCUGAGGUAGCCAC